AGUGAACGCUGGCGGUAGGCCUAACACAUGCAAGUCGAACGGCAGCACAGUAAGAGCUUGCUCUUACGGGUGGCGAGUGGCGGACGGGUGAGGAAUACAUCGUAAUCUACUUUUUCGUGGGGGAUAACGUAGGGAAACUUACUCUAAUACCGCAUACGACCUACGGGUGAAAGCAGUGGAUCUUCGGACCUUGCGCGAUUGAAUGAGCCGAUGUCGGAUUAGCUAGUUGGCGGGGUAAAGGCCCACCAAGGCGACGAUCCGUAGCUGGUCUGAGAGGAUGAUCAGCCGCACUGGAACUGAGACACGGUCCAGAGUCCUACGGGAGGGAGCAGUGGGGAAUAUUGGACAAUGGGCGCAAGCCUGAUCCAGCCAUACCGCGUGGGUGAAGAAGGCCUUCGGGUUGUAAAGCCCUUUUGUUGGGAAAGAAAAGCAGCAGGUUAAUACCCCGCUGUUCUGACGGUACCCAAAGAAUAAGCACCGGCUAACCUCGUG
rnacentral:rRNA from 1 species